AGAUUGAACGCUGGCGGCAUGCUUUACACAUGCAAGUCGAACGGCAACAGGCCGCAAGGUGCUGACGAGUGGCGAACGGGUGAGUAAUGUAUCGGAACGUGCCCGGUCGUGGGGGAUAACGCAGCGAAAGCUGCGCUAAUACCGCAUACGAUCUAUGGAUGAAAGCGGGGGACCGUAAGGCCUCGCGCGAUUGGAGCGGCCGAUAUCAGUAUUAGGGUAGUUGGGUAGGGGUAAAGGCUCACCAAGCCAACGAUCUGUAGCUGGUCUAGAGAGGACGACCAGCCACGACGUGGGACUGGA
rnacentral:rRNA from 1 species